ACAGUCACGUGGCUCCCACCAUGCCCCGCGGCAAAUCAGCAGCAGCUGCUGUGCACCUCUGCACCAGGGGGCACCACCCGGUGGGAAACGAGACUCCCAUGAGCCUUUGCUGCAGGAGCCAUUUGGGGGGGCACAUGACUGCCUCGGCGCUCUGUGGUGUGCCCUAUGUUGGAAGUCACGCGGCUCUCAGGAUGCCCUGUGGCCUGCAAGGGAGGCGCUUCCUCAGCCCCCACGCCAGGGAGGGCCCGGCUUGAGGUCACUUGACCCCCGUGAGGCCCCACAGCCAAUCCGGAGCAGUGCAUGUGAUGCCCUAAAGGGGGCGCCAUGGCAGCAGCCACUGGGCCCUCUUGGGGACCCCCUCCUCUGGAUGCUGCGAUGCCACCGCCGGGCCGUAAGGGGACACCUUCGGGCCAUUGAGACCCUCCUGGAAUGCCCACCUGAGCACCCCCAACCCAUGGUGGGGCCAAUAAAACAAUGACACCUCAAGAUUGUACCAGGGAGCUGGGGAGACUCCCAAAACUCCCUCCCUUACCUCCCCCACCUUUGGGACUGCCCCAAAUCCCCUCUCCCCCCAAAUGUCCCCAAGAGCAUUUGGAGGGUUCUGGGGGCUCCAAAGCGGCUGUUGGUGGGGUGCUGGGUGUCUCUAGGGUGUCCGUGAGGGUCUGUGGGGUGUUUGGAGGGGCUCUGAGGCUGAGGAAGGGAUUUGGGGGU